rnacentral:lncRNA from 1 species
UUACGAGCUUUUUUUUCUGACCAGGUUGAACCUGCCACGGUAGAUUAAGCAACAUUCUUCCCAACAAUCUUCAAGUGUAAACACACGAUCAAUUUGACUCAUUAAACUUCCAUGGAACCAAGUGUAACGAUACUCAUUGAGAGGAUAUUCCAUCAAAUCACAAGAAUUAAGGAAGAACUUCAAAGCUUUGGAGCCUUUCAAAUUAUGCUAUCUACUGCUUCUUUCACAUACAUUUAAAGUAUCAUUGAAAUCUCCUACUAUAAACAGAGGGACAUGAACAGCUAGCUUUAGAAUUAUAAGUUCAUCCCACAGAAUACUACGUUCGGCGACAGAGGUUUCAGCAUAAACCCCCAUUAUUGCAUAGUGAUGCAUUGUGGCAACAUGAAAACCAAAGAUUGCUACCCGCUGUCCACCAAAUUCAACAGAUUCCAUCUUAAAUUUAUUUUCAUUCCACAAAGCUAAGAUUCCACCAUUUCCUUUCUGAGUUAAUAGAGUACCACUUAAUAUUUGACUCAUUCCAUAGAGUUCUAACAAAACUAUCUGAGCAAGAAGACCUCAUAGUUUCAAACAAGAAACAGAUUUUUAAUAGAAGUAGACAUGCCUAACCCGCGACAAUUCCAGAAAAAGAUCUUCAUUAAAUCUGAUUCAAAACCUUACCAGACAACGCUCAGUGCAACAGCUACUAUGUUAUUGUCCAAUUGUCAACCUCCCUUUCCACUUGUCCCUGAAUGUCUGCAGAAAAGUCAUUCAAAGUCUGCAUAUCACCAAAGCCAUCGGUUAGCAUCUUCUGGACCUUUUCUUCUAUAUUAAAGGUUGACAAGGAAGGCGAAACUUUCCUGUGAAGACGACGAAAAUUUCCUUGCUUUAUAGCAGACUCCAAUGAAUCCUUUUCUUGUUCUUCUACUGUAUGUUGGACACUACCAUUAUCUGAUAAGAUCUUUAUCUUCCUUUGUCUUCUUCUAAGAACCAUUGGGUGUUUCUGUGUUUGGGAUAUAGGAAAGUCCUUAAACUUCC